rnacentral:tRNA from 1 species
GCAUUGGAGCAUAGUGGUAAGGAGCAGGGCUUGUAACCCAGAGGUUGCUGGUUUGAUUCCAUGCUGGGGCA